CAGUGCCCCUUCACCCUCGUACACCUUGAUGAGUAUGUUCGUCUGGUUGUCAACAUUGGUCGUGUAAUUCCCGUCCAUCUUCACGGGGAUGGUGGUGUUCCUGGGUACCAGCACACUCAUGAUACCACCUACUACCUCCACCCCGAGCGAGAGAGGUGUGACGUCAAGCAGGAGCAAGUCCUGCACCUUCUGGUCGUAUUCGCCGUUGAGGAUGGCGGCCUGGAUAGCAGCCCCGUAGGCGACGGCCUCGUCUGGAUUGAUUUUCUUGCAGAGCAUCUUCCCGUCAAAGAAAUCCUGCAGCAUAUGCUGCACCUUGGGGAUCUUGGUGGAGCCGCCGACGAGCACAACGUCAUGGAUCUGUGA
rnacentral:rRNA from 1 species